GACGAACGCUGGCGGCGUGCUUAACACAUGCAAGUCGAACGGAAAGGCCCCUUUGGGGGUCCUCGAGUGGCGAACGGGUGAGUAACACGUGAGUAACCUGCCCUUGACUUCGGGAUAACUUCAGGAAACUGGGGCUAAUACCGGAUAGGAAUCCUUGCUGCAUGGUGGGGGUUGGAAAGCUUCGGCGGUUUUGGAUGGACUCGCGGCUUAUCAGCUUGUUGGUGGGGUAGUGGCUUACCAAGGCUUUGACGGGUAGCCGGCCUGAGAGGGCGACCGGCCACAGUGGGACUGAGAUACGGCCCAGACGCCUACGGGAGGCAGCAGUGGGGAAUAUUGCACAAUGGGCGGAAGCCGGAUGCAGCAACGCCGCGUGCGGGAUGACGGCCUUCGGGUUGUAAACCGCUUUCAGCAGGGGCGAAGCUUGUGGUGACGGUACCUGCAGAAGAAGCACCGGCUAACUACGUG
rnacentral:rRNA from 1 species